rnacentral:rRNA from 1 species
UAAGACGAGGAUAACGACUGGAAACGGUCGCUAAAACUGGAUAGGAUCAUUUGAGGCAUCUCGAAUGAUUUAAAGGGCUUCAAGCCACACUUAGAGAAAGGCCUGCGGCGCAUUAGCUAGUUGGUGGGGUAGAGGCCUACCAAGGCGAUGAUGCGUAGCCGGACUGAGAGGUCGAACGGCCACAUUGGGACUGAGACACGGCCCAAACUCCUACGGGAGGCAGCAGUAGGGAAUUUCGGCAAUGGGGGAAACCCUGACCGAGCAACGCCGCGGUGAAUUGAAGACGUAUUUCGGUAUGUAAAGUUCUUUUAUUAAGGAAGAAUAUCACGGAUAGGAAAUGAUCUGUGAGUGACGGUACUUAAUGAAUAAGCCCCGGCUAACUAUGUGCCAGCCGCGGC